UACGUAGGGUGCGAGCGUUAAUCGGAAUUACUGGGCGUAAAGCGUGCGCAGGCGGUUCGUUGUGUCGGCGGUGAAAGCCCCGGGCUCAACCUGGGAAUGGCCGUUGAAACUGGCGAACUGGAGUGUGGCAGAGGGCGGUGGAAUUCCGCGUGUAGCAGUGAAAUGCGUAGAGAUGCGGAGGAACACCGAUGGCGAAGGCAGCCCCCUGGGCUAACACUGACGCUCAGGCACGAAAGCGUGGGGAGCAAACAGG
rnacentral:rRNA from 1 species